AUGGCCUGUUUUUCACUCGGGUCUCUGCCCUGUCAUUGGCUGGAACUGUCCCACCUGAUCUUGCCGCCUCCUGCCUGCCUUCCAUCAUUCAGGGCAUAUAUUUCCAUUUUUGAGCGGUCACCCGAAUAUCUUGUCAAUAUAAUAGACCAUCUUUGGCUUGUUUUGUUGAAUGAAGCAACCGACUGCAGACGAAAGUCGAGGAGUGAAGUCUGGAGAGGUGCGUCUGCUACAGCCGAAAGUCGGAGACUGGUGGAUGCAAUUUCUUGUUCUCAGCUCCUACUGUCUUUGCUAAGGCUAAUGUCUGCCGGACUUUGUGGUUCAUUAUGAGCAGACAAUACACAGUUCUUAGUACGUGUCAUUGAUGGGAGUUGCUGGAGUACGAAUGACAA
rnacentral:lncRNA from 1 species